rnacentral:rRNA from 1 species
CCUACGGGAGGCUGCAGUGAGGAAUAUUGGUCAAUGGGCGGAAGCCUGAACCAGCCAAGUCGCGUGAAGGAUUAAGGCCCUGCGGGUCGUAAACCUCUUUUGCCGGGGAGCAGUGGUCCGGACGUGUCCGGGCCGGGAGAGUACCCGGAGAAAAAGCAUCGGCUAACUCCGUGCCAGCAGCCGCGGUAAUACGGAGGAUGCGAGCGUUAUCCGGAUUUAUUGGGUUUGAGGGGUGCGUAGGCGGGCAUUUAAGCCGGCGGUCAAAUGUCGGGGCUCAACCCCGGCCUGCCGUCGGAACUGGGUGGCUUGAGUGGGAGAGAAGUAUGCGGAAUUCGUGGUGUAGCGGUGAAAUGCAUAGAUAUCACGCAGAACCCCGAUGGCGAAGGCAGCAUACCGGAGCCCUACUGACGCUGAGGCACGAAAGUGUGGGUAUCGAACAGGAUUAGAUACCCCUGUAGUC